AUUGAACGCUGGCGGCAUGCCUUACACAUGCAAGUCGAACGGUAGCGGGCCUUCGGGUGCCGACGAGUGGCGAACGGGUGAGUAAUGUAUCGGAACGUACCUUUCAGUGGGGGAUAACGUAGCGAAAGUUGCGCUAAUACCGCAUAUUCUGUGAGCAGGAAAGCAGGGGAUCGCAAGACCUUGCGCUGAUUGAGCGGCCGAUAACGGAUUAGCUAGUUGGUGAGGUAAAGGCUCACCAAGGCGACGAUCUGUAGCGGGUCUGAGAGGAUGAUCCGCCACACUGGAACUGAGACACGGUCCAGACUCCUACGGGAGGCAGCAGUGGGGAAUUUUGGACAAUGGGGGCAACCCUGAUCCAGCCAUGCCGCGUGAGUGAAGAAGGCCUUCGGGUUGUAAAGCUCUUUCGGCCGGGAAGAAAUCGUAUCGGCUAAUACCUGGUGCGGAUGACGGUACCGGCAUAAGAAGCACCGGCUAACUACGUGCCAGCAGCCGCCGUAA
rnacentral:rRNA from 1 species